rnacentral:rRNA from 1 species
GAUGAACGCUGGCGGCGUGCCUAAUACAUGCAAGUCGAGCGAACGGACGAGAAGCUUGCUUCUCUGAUGUUAGCGGCGGACGGGUGAGUAACACGUGGAUAACCUACCUAUAAGACUGGGAUAACUUCGGGAAACCGGAGCUAAUACCGUAUAAUAUUUUGAACCGCAUGGUUCAAAAGUGAAAGACGGUCUUGCUGUCACUUAUAGAUGGAUCCGCGCUGCAUUAGCUAGUUGGUAAGGUAACGGCUUACCAAGGCAACGAUGCAUAGCCGACCUGAGAGGGUGAUCGGCCACACUGGAACUGAGACACGGUCCAGACUCCUACGGGAGGCAGCAGUAGGGAAUCUUCCGCAAUGGGCGAAAGCCUGACGGAGCAACGCCGCGUGAGUGAUAAAGGUCUUCGGAUCGUAAAACUCUGUUAUUAGGGAAGAACAUAUGUGUAAGUAACUGUGCACAUCUUGACGGUACCUAAUCAGAAAGCCACGGCUAACUACGUG